GUUGAUCCUGCGGGAGGCUGCUGCUAUCAGGGUUCGAUUUAACCAUGCAAGUCAAGGGGUCCUUCGGGACACCGGCAGAAUGCUCAGUAACACGUCAAUAAUCUGCCCUUAGGUCCAGGAUAACCUUGGUAAACUGAGGAUAACACUGGAUAGAAGAUUAAUUCUGGAACGAGAAUCUUUUAAAAGUAAUGCCUAAGGAUGAGUUGGCGGCUGAUUAGGUUGAUGGUGGGGUAGAGGCCCACCAUGCCUAUGAUCAGUAGGGGCCUUGAGAGAGGGAGCCCCGAGAAGGGCACUGAGAUACUUGCCCUAGCCCUACGGGGUGCAGCAGGUGCGAAACCUUUACAAUGCACGAAAGUGUGAUAAGGGAACCCUGAGUGCUUAUACUAUGUAUAGGCUUUUGUUAAAGGUAAACACUUUGACGAAUAAACGGUGGGUAAGACUGGUGCCAGCCGCCGCGGUAACACCAGCGCCGUAAGUGGGGGCCACGUUUAUUGGGCCUAAAGCGUCCGUAGCUGGAUAAACAAAUCUUCUGUGAAAUUGUCAAGCCUAACUUGACAGCAUGCAGAAGACACUGUUCAUCUUGGAACCGGAAGGAGUCAGAGGUAUGGAAGGGGGAGCGGUAAAAUGCUAUAAUCCUUUUUAGACCACCUGUGGCGAAGGCGUCUGACUAGUACGGGUUCGACAGUGAGGGACGAAAGCCAGGGGAGCGAACCGGAUUAGAUACCCGAGUAGUCCUGGCUGUAAACUCUGCGAGCAAGGUGUUGCAUAUCUUACGUGGAUAUGCAGUGUCGAAGAGAAGUCGUUAAGCUCGCCGCCUGGGAAGUACGGUCGCAAGGCUGAAACUUAAAGGAAUUGGCGGGGGAGCGCUACCAGGGGUGCGGCGUGCGGUUUAGUCUAAUUAUACACAGAAAAUCUCACCAGGGGCGACGGCAGGAUGAAAGUCAGGCUAAAGACCUUACUUGACGAGCCGAGAGGUAGUGCAUGGCUGUCGCAGGCUCGUGCUGCGAGGUGUCCUCUUAAGUGAGGUAACGAGCAAGACCCACAUCUACAGUUGCUAACAAGUCCUUUAGGAUGAUUGAGCACACUGUAGAGACUGCCUUGGAAACAAGGAGGAAGGUGUGGACAAUGGCAGGUCUGUAUGCCCCGAAUCCUCUGGGCUACACGCGCGCAACAAUGGUAGGGACAACGGGAUACGACCCUGAAAAGAGAAGUUAAACCUCUAAACCCUAUCCAAGUUCAGAUUGAGGAUUGUAACUCAUCCUCAUGACGAUGGAAUCCCUAGUAAUUGGACUUUAUCAGAGUCCAGUGAAUAUGUCCCCGCUCCUUGCACACACUGCCCGUCAAAUCAACCGAGCAGGGUUUUGGUGAGGCUUAGUCAUCAGAUUAAGUCGAAUCUAAGCUCAGUGAGGUGGGUUAAGUCGUCACAAGGUA
rnacentral:rRNA from 1 species